UCGUAGUUCGUUGAGAGGCCCCCGAUUGGUUGCCCUUCAUCCCCGGCUCCUCCUACUUGGUCCCGCCCCACAGUCGCUCCUGUGGCGUCGCAGAGCUCGUCAGCAAGCUCGCGAACCCGAUGACAGAGGAGGAGAUUGUAUCGUUUACCAUUAUUCGUGGAUGAUCCUCGGUCUAUUUUAUGAAAGGUUCUAAAGGUGGGGCUAAUGAUGGACGUGGACAAGAAGUGAGGCAGGAACAAAUCUUCAGAGACAAGCUUUUGUGAGAAGAAUUUAGCUUGACUUGGCUCUCAUCCUCAAGUUGGCAGCUGUGAUGUUUCUGCUCGGUCAGAUGGAUAAGAACAGAAACUUAUGCUUCGGAUGCUGUGUGCCUCACUGGUGUACCUAUAUAGAACUAUAGCUCUUCCCCCCUUACAAGAUGGCUUCAACAAGCAGGAGCACCUACUCAGCCUCAAUAUG